GCGCCCUGACAGUCCCCUGCUGCUCCUCUGCUGGGCGCCACAACUUUCCCCAACCCGUGCCAACUUCCAGGGCACAGCCUCUGCGGAGAGUAGCAGGGUACAGUGAAUAACCCAGACACUAAAAAGCAAGGCAGCGGGGGUCCUACCAGCGCGGCUUUUGAUGACGUCGGUGAAUCCGUCCUCAGCGGCAUUUUCUGGGGUCUCCUGCAGACCCCUCAGCUGUGCCAUAACCAAACGCCACGUGCCUCAGCUUCCUCACGCCCCAAACUUUGGAAGGCAGGUCACAUGGAAUCUACACAUGGAAGGACAUAGGCAUUGCAUGCAGGUAUCCGGAAUCAUUGAUAUUGGUCUUAAAAUUUGGAAGUUUCCACUUUUGCUAAGCCAUGUGAGGACACAACAAGAAGGCAUCACCAAUGAAGAAUAGGCCUUCAUCAGACAUCCAAUCUGCAGGCCUCUUGAUCUUGGACUUCCUAAUCUACAGAAUU
rnacentral:lncRNA from 1 species